CGCCUCCCUCCGCCGCCACUCAGACUCCGUACGGGAGGCGAGCAGGUGGGUAAGUUUGGCGCAAGUGGGGAAACCUGACGCAGCAACGCCACGUGGAGGAUGAAGCCCUUGGGCGUAACUCCUUUCGACCAAGACGACAAUGACGGUACUGGUGGAAGAAGCACCGGCUAACUCUGUGCCAGCAGCCGCGGUAAUAC
rnacentral:rRNA from 1 species